GACGAACCGUACGAACGUUAUUCGGAAUUACUGGGCUUAAAGGGUGCGUAGGCUGCGCGGAAAGUUGGGUGUGAAAUCCCUCGGCUCAACCGAGGAACUGCGCCCAAAACUACCGUGCUCGAGGGAGACAGAGGUGAGCGGAACUUAGGGUGGAGCGGUGAAAUGCGUUGAUAUCCUAAGGAACACCCGUGGCGAAAGUGGCUCACUGGGUCUCUUCUGACGCUGAGGCACGAAAGCUAGGGUAGCGAACGGG
rnacentral:rRNA from 1 species